UGACCUGAGCCGAAGGCAGCAGCUUAACCCACUGAGCCACCCAGGCGCCCCCCUUUACGAACUUUAAAGUCUGGUGUCUCAAUGUAAAACUAGGAACUCCAG